GGGGAAUAUUGCGCAAUGGGGGGAACCCUGACGCAGCAACGCCGCGUGAAGGAAGAAGGUCUUCGGAUUGUAAACUUCUUUGAUGAGGGACGAAGUAAGUGACGGUACCUCAAAAACAAGCCACGGCUAACUACGUGCCAGCAGCCGCGGUAAUACGUAGGUGGCGAGCGUUGUCCGGAAUUACUGGGUGUAAAGGGCGUGUAGGCGGGGAUGCAAGUCAGAUGUGAAAUACCGAGGCUUAACCUCGGGGCUGCAUCUGAAACUGUGUUUCUUGAGUGUCGGAGAGGAAAGCGGAAUUCCUGGUGUAGCGGUGAAAUGCGUAGAGAUCAGGAGGAACACCGGUGGCGAAGGCGGCUUUCUGGACGACAACUGACGCUGAGGCGCGAAAGCGUGGGGAGCAAACA
rnacentral:rRNA from 1 species